ensembl:miRNA Gm23961 predicted gene, 23961
AUGUGUGUAUAUGCAUGUGUGUGUAUGCGCAUGUGUGUGUAUAUUAAAAAAUCACACAUACACACAUACACACACACACACACACACACACACACACACACAC